GAAAGAAAAAGAGUGGCGAACGGGUGAGUAACACGUGGGUAACCUGCCCAUCAGAAGGGGAUAACACUUGGAAACAGGUGCUAAUACCGUAUAACACUAUUUUCCGCAUGGAAGAAAGUUGAAAGGCGCUUUUGCGUCACUGGUGGAUGGACCCGCGGUGCAUUAGCUAGUUGGUGAGGUAACGGCUCACCAAGGCAACGAUGCAUAGCCGACCUGAGAGGGUGAUCGGCCACACUGGGACUGAGACACGGCCCAGACUCCUACGGGAGGCAGCAGUAGGGAAUCUUCGGCAAUGGACGAAAGUCUGACCGAGCAACGCCGCGUGAGUGAAGAAGGUUUUCGGAUCGUAAAACUCUGUUGUUAGAGAAGAACAAGGAUGAGAGUAAAAUGUUCAUCCCUUGACGGUAUCUAACCAGAAAGCCACGGCUAACUACGUGCCAGCAGCCGCGGUAAUACGUAGGUGGCAAGCGUUGUCCGGAUUUAUUGGGCGUAAAGCGAGCG
rnacentral:rRNA from 1 species